rnacentral:rRNA from 1 species
UAUAGCGGAGGAAAGAACUACAGGAUUCCCCUAGUAACGGCGAGUGAAGCGGGAUGAGCUCAAGCUUAAAAUCUCUGUCACAUAUUUAUUAUGUGCGGCGAAUUGUAGUCUAUAGAAGCGUGGUCAGUGUAGGCACUUGAGAUAAGUUCCUUGAAAAAGGACAGCAUGGAGGGUGAAACUCCCGUUCAUACUUGAGUAGCUUAUGCGUACGACCCGUUUUCUUUGAGUCGCGUUGUUUGAGAAUGCAGCGCAAAGUAGGUGGUAAAUUCCAUCUAAAGCUAAAUAUUGGUGCGAGACCGAUAGCGAACAAGUACCGUGAGGGAAAGAUGAAAAGAACUUUGAAAAGAGAGUUAAAGAGUACCUGAAACUGCUGAAAGGGAACCGGAUCGUUUCUAGUGUCUAUAAUCUGUGACAUAUUUCAUUGGGGAGUGUGUGCGUGUGUAUACUAUGGCAGUGGCUUUUUGGCUGCGCUUGGUGUGCGUGCUGUAUGUGCUUACUGGUGCCCUGUGUUGCGGUGGGACGUCAAGGUCGGUUUGUAUACUGCGGGAAAUGGCUAUUGAGGAGGUAGGGCUUACGCUUGCGUUUGUCUAUUAUAUCUUGGUAGUUGUGUCGUGGUUGAGACUGAGGUGUCUACAACGUGCUUAUGAGUGGGACUGUGUCUCCGUGUGCGCCGUGUGCGGAUAGCUUGCUAUGUGUGUGUGGUGGUGUGUGGAUUGAUGCGGGCUUUAACUUGUUGCCGUUCGGGACGUUGGCGAAAUAGAGCGAUUUGACCCGUCUUGAAACACGGACCAAGGAGUCUAACAUGUGUGCAAGUGUUAGGGUGUGGAAACCCAAGCGCGAAAUGAAAGUAAAGGAUAGUGUAAACUGUCUGAGGUAGGAAAUGCUGCGGAUUUCGGUCUGUGGCGUGGCACUAUCGACCGAUCAUGAACCUUCGUGGUGAAAGAUUUGAGUUUGAGCACAUAUGUUGGUACCCGAAAGAUGGUGAACUAUGCCUGAGUAGGGUGAAGCCAGGGAAACUCU